AUGUGGAGACGAUGGGCUGGGGAGUAGAGGCUACUGCCUUUAGACCCUGCCGGGCUGGGUGUCCCAGAGGGUGACGGCCCCCGGGGCCCUUGGGGAAGUCCCAAAGGGGCUGCUGUUCCCCUGUGUAGAUUAAUAGAAGCCCGGACGUUUGCAUCAGACCACCGCUGUGAGUGCCUGCGUGGUGACCAAAAGGACGAGGGCUUUCGGGGCUUUCGCUGACCACUGAGAGCCUGUGGAUGUGCAGGCCACUGUGCUCAUGGGCCAGGACAAUUCCUAAGGCAGGGUUUUCUGGCUCUUUUCUACAGAGGAGGAAACUGAGCCUCCGUGGAGGUAAGUGACUUGUCCAAGGUAUAAGGUCCAAGCUGCAAAGUGGCUGCAACGGGAUGAAGUCAGAUGUGGCUGAAUUCAAAGCCCAGAUGGCUUUCAUUGCCCUCUGUUGCUUCCAGAAAGGCGUGUGCUCACAGGGCAUCUCUGGGAGGUGUUAAGCUGGCAGUGUUUUGUCUGCACCCGGAGAAAGACAAGGGGUUUUUAAACAAAUAUAUACAUUCUCCAAAAUCCCAGCGAUUGUAUUUCUCCAUUGAUCCGUUAUGACGUUGAGUAAGUAUAAAGCUUCCCUGGUGCCUGCGGGGGGAUUACAGAAUGAGCAGGCUGUGCAGGGGAAGGAGAGGGAGGGCAGCGGAAAUUGUCCCAGUGGGGGCCGGGGCUCGGCCGGGGCUCUGAGGACCUGACAAAGGGGCUAAUUUGUGGAAGGGAGAGAGAUUACUUCUUGCCGGGGGAGUCACAGGAAGCCUGGUGAUGCCCGAGUAUCACCCCUUCAGUAGAGCCUUGCUGACUGCCUCUCCAGCCCCACGGGGUGGGGUGGGGGGGUGACAGACAGCUAGCCCCCCUCUUUGUUUCCACUUGGCUGUGUUGGGAUAUCUAGCACAGCGCCGGGAACUCUGACAGGCCUUUAUCUGCCACAGAUUCCUCUUCCCCACUGGACCGUGAACUUGGUGGAAACAGCGACCCAGAGGAGCUCCGGGUCCCCAGCGGCCGUCCCCCCAGCCCGUAUCCCGUCUGGCAGGGCCAGUUUCCAGUGAAACGCUCAUUCGGGGGUCUCUGCAGGGAACACAUGGCAGAUGGCAUUUAGUGGACUUUGGGAAAACGCCUCAGUUUCCCCAUCUCUGAAAUAAAGGGGUCAGUGAACCGUGCAGUCAGAGUACUUGGAACACGGUGAAUAUGCUCGGUAAUGUGAGCUCCUGUGACUCUUAGGACCAUCACCUUUGUAUCACUGCCAUCAGGGACACCGUCGCCCUCUCCAGGCCUGGGCGCCAUGCAGAUGAUUGGCCACAGAAUCCUCGCACGCUGCGUUAUGAAAGGAUAGAAGACGGUGAUUUUGGGUGCAAAAGGCUAGUCGUGACCUGUGUGAGCUCUUUCUUUCUUUCUUUCUUUCUUAAUUCUCCCAACUAUGUCCUUUUACACCCCGUGUCCCUGCCGUGAUAUAUUUGAAGAUUUCGGGGACCAGAGCUUGGUCGCAUCAGAGUGUUAACUCUUCUCUUUUCUCUCUGUGUGUCUGCUCUGUCUGGAAAGAUCUUUCUGUGGUGAGGCUUCUCCCCUACCUCCAGGUUGACUCAGUGCCUGAUUCCAGGCCCUCACAGGCCUUGGACCGAGCUAGGCAACCCCCUUCAAGUUUCCCUACCUGCUGAGUCCCUGCUCUGUCUGCCCAUUUGAGCAGUGUUUUGGGGGUGCUCAAUUUAUUUUAUUCCAGAACUUUUUACCACUUCUCUGUGAGUCUUAGCGUCCCCAAGGAUAGAAUGGGAAUAUCUUAUAGCUUGAAUGUCAAGAUGAAGUGAGAUGGUGACUGAGAUACACUGUGUCCCAACAGUCAGCAAAUCUCAGCGCUCUGUCCUCACCUGAGUGUGAACUCCCCAAGGGCAAAAGCUCUCAGAUUCAUCUUCAGAGAUCUACAACUGGGACGUCCAACAUGGUAGCCGUGGACCACGUGCGGCUGUUGAGCACUUGAACUGUGCCUAGUCCGGCCGAGCUGAGCUGCAGGUGUGAAAUGCACACUGGGUUUUGAAAGCCUAGGAUGAAAAGAAAGAUGUCAAAUAACUGGUGAAUGUUUUUAUCUUGAUGACAUGUUGAAAUGAUCAUACGUUGGCUAUACGGAGUUAAAAUAAAAUGAAUGACGAGGUCAGUAAAUAGGAUUUAUAUUUUUUAUGAAAAUAAAUAUGUGACGUAUGUUAAAAGACUUACACCAUUCCAUAACAACAAUAAUUAUUAAAGAAUGUAAUUAUUACAUAAAUUGA